rnacentral:rRNA from 1 species
CCUACUGACAUCCAGAGAACUUGGCAGAGAUGCCUUGGUGCCUUCGGGAACUCUGAGACAGGUGCUGCAUGGCUGUCGUCAGCUCGUGUUGUGAAAUGUUCGGGUUAAGUCCCGCAACGAGCGCAACCCCUAUCCUUGUUGCCAGCGAUUCGGUCGGGAACUCAAAGGAGACUGCCGGUGAUAAACCGGAGGAAGGUGGGGAUGACGUCAAGUCAUCAUGGCCCUUACGAGUAGGGCUACACACGUGCUACAAUGGCGUAUACAAAGAGAAGCGACCUCGCGAGAGCAAGCGGACCUCAUAAAGUACGUCGUAGUCCGGAUUGGAGUCUGCAACUCGACUCCAUGAAGUCGGAAUCGCUAGUAAUCGUAGAUCAGAAUGCUACGGUGAAUACGUUCCCGGGCCUUGUACACACCGCCCGUCACACCAUGGGAGUGGGUUGCAAAAGAAGUAGAUAGCUUAACCUUCGGGAGGGCGUUUACCACUUUGUGAUUCAUGACUGGGGUGAAGUCGUAACAAGGUAAGCGUACGUGU